ensembl:snoRNA Small nucleolar RNA SNORA68
UCUGCACACAAACCCAAAGAUCAUUGUGUGUGUGUAUAAUGCUCUUGCUGUGUGUGCGCAAAGAAACCGUGCCUUGUCGCCUUUCAUAAGCUCUCUCGUGCCACUGAAAGUGAAAUCAAGGUUCGACAUCA